GACGUAGGGCGCGAGCGUUGUCCGGAUUUAUUGGGCGUAAAGAGCUCGUAGGCGGCUUGUCGCGUCGUUCGUGAAAACUCACAGCUCAACUGUGAGCUUGCAGUCGAUACGGGCAGACUGGAGUUCGGUAGGGGAGACUGGAAUUCCUGGUGUAGCGGUGAAAUGCGCAGAUAUCAGGAGGAACACCGGUGGCGAAGGCGGGUCUCUGGGCCGAUACUGACGCUGAGGAGCGAAAGCGUGGGGAGCGAACAGG
rnacentral:rRNA from 1 species